rnacentral:rRNA from 1 species
AGCAGCCGCGGUAAUUCCAGCUCCAAUAGCGUAUAUUAAAGUUGUUGCAGUUAAAAAGCUCGUAGUUGAAUUUCGGGGUUCUACCGUUGGUCAGGCUAUUGUCUGUACUGGCGUGUAGAAUUUCUACCUUCUGGGGAACUAUCAUGUUAUUAAUUUAGCGUGGUAGGAAACCAGGACCUUUACCUUGAAAAAAUUAGAGUGUUCAAAGCAGGCUUAUGUCUGAAUACAUUAGCAUGGAAUAAUAAAAUAGGACGGUGGUCCUGUUUUGUUGGUUUCUGAAUCACCGUAAUGAUUAAUAGGGAUAGUUGGGGGCAUUAGUAUUCAAUUGUCAGAGGUGAAAUUCUUGGAUUUAUUGAAGACUAACUACUGCGAAAGCAUUUGCCAAGGAUGUUUUCAUUAAUCAAGAACGAAAGUUAGGGGAUCGAAGACGAUCAGAUACCGUCGUAGUCUUAACCAUAAACUAUGCCGACUAGGGAUCGGAUGAUGUUAAUUUUUUAAUGACUCAUUCGGCGUCCUUACG